rnacentral:rRNA from 1 species
CAAGUCGAACGAUACCAGAGAGCUUGCUUUCUGGGAAAGUGGCGCACGGGUGCGUAACGCGUAUGCAACCUACCUUAAUCAGGGGGAUAGCCUCUCGAAAGAGAGAUUAACACCGCAUAAAGUCACACUUCGGCAUCGAAGAAUGAUCAAAUAUUUAUAGGAUUAAGAUGGGCAUGCGUGACAUUAGUUUGUUGGUGAGGUAACGGCUCACCAAGACUACGAUGUCUAGGGGAUCUGAGAGGAUGACCCCCCACACUGGUACUGAGACACGGACCAGACUCCUACGGGAGGCAGCAGUAAGGAAUAUUGGUCAAUGGGGGCAACCCUGAACCAGCCAUGCCGCGUGCAGGAAGACGGCCCUACGGGUUGUAAACUGCUUUUAUACGGGAAUAAACCUCUCUACGUGUAGGGAGUUGAAUGUACUGUAAGAAUAAGGAUCGGCUAACUCCGUGCCAGCAGCCGCGGUAAUACGGAGGAUCCAAGCGUUAUCCGGAUUUAUUGGGUUUAAAGGGUGCGUAGGCGGCCUAUUAAGUCAGGGGUGAAAGACGGUGGCUCAACCAUCGCAGUGCCCUUGAUACUGAUGGGCUUGAUUACACUUGAGGUAGGCGGAAUGUGACAAGUAGCGGUGAAAUGCAUAGAUAUGUCACAGAACACCAAUUGCGAAGGCAGCUUACUAAGGUGUUAAUGACGCUGAGGCACGAAAGCGUGGGGAUCAAACAGGAUUAGAUACCCUGGUAGUCCACGCCCUAAACGAUGAAUACUCGAUGUUAGCGAUAUACAGUUAGCGUCAAAGCGAAAGCGUUAAGUAUUCCACCUGGGGAGUACGCCCGCAAGGGUGAAACUCAAAGGAAUUGACGG